AUGAUGGAUGUCAGGAAAGGACUGCUGCUGUUAGCUAUCUGCUGUGCAGGUGUUGAUGGUCAGACUCUGACAGAAUCUGAACCAAUGGUUAAAAACCCUGGAGAUUCACACAGACUGACAUGUUCAGCCUCUGGAUUCACAUUCAGCAGCUACUGGAUGGGCUGGAUCAGACAGGCUCCUGGAAAAGGACUGGAGUGGAUUGCUUUGGUACACACAUCUAGUUCUCAUAUCUUUUACUCCCAGUCAGUCCAGGGUAGAUUCACCAUCUCCAGAGAUGACUCCAGCAGUAAACUUUAUCUACAGAUGAACAGUCUGAAGACCGAGGACACAGCAGUGUAUUACUGUGUCAGAGACACACAGUGA